UACGAAGGAUUCGAGCGUUAUCCGGAUUUAUUGGGUUUAAAGGGUGCGUAGGUGGACUAAUAAGUCAGUGGUGAAAGCCCGCAGCUUAACUGCGGAACUGCCAUUGAUACUGUUAGUCUUGAGUACAGUUGAGGUGGGCGGAAUGUGUCAUGUAGCGGUGAAAUGCUUAGAUAUGACACAGAACACCGAUUGCGAAGGCAGCUCACUAAGCUGUAACUGACACUGAGGCACGAAAGCGUGGGGAGCAAACGGG
rnacentral:rRNA from 1 species